AUAAAAUUUAUGGGAUUCUAAACUUUUUUUUGUUCUUUUUGAGUAAUCUUAGUAGUUAAUUAUAUCUUGUUUAAAAAUAUAGAAGUCUAAAUACGAAAAAUGAAGAAUGAGUAUUUCAUGAUUCUUUAAUUUUUUUAAAAAAUCUAAACAUUAAUAAUUUCUUAAUGUCUGCUGGAGUAAUAUUCAGUUGUGUUUCUGUGAAAGCUACUUUAAUACCAAGCCCAUUCAUAUGGAUUAUAAGGGCAGAUGAUGUUAUAAAAAGAUGGAACGAUAAUUCAGCCUAGAACGUCACCAGUUUAAAGGCGAACUGAUAGUAGAAAUCGUUACUAUCAGGAAUAGACAUUAACGAAGGAAACGUGUUGGACCCUAAAGAAAUCUAAGGCUGAAACUGGAUUGAAUGCAUAUGAAGGAAAACUAAGGGAAAUAUGUGCCAAAUUGGGCUGUAGGAAACAUUCCGGCCGAGACAGCUCUGAAAAAUGAAAAUUAAUUAGUUAUUAAAAAAAAUAAAAAAUUACAGUUGCUGGAGUACACUCACCGGCAAGAGGGAAGGACAGAAAGACUCACCGGCAAGAGGGAAUGGCCAGAAAUGAACCGGUCAAACGUGAAUAACGCACGCUGGCGCACUUCUGCAUCGAUUACUGAGUCUUUAGAACCUUUAGCGAGCUCAGCCGCCACUAGCCAUCUCAGUUUGACAAAUUUUGGGUCACCAUGUUUUUUGUUGUUCCACCUUUCUAGUUGAUCCUCAAGUUUCUCGUUAAA